GAUGAACGCUGGCGGCGUGCUUAACACAUGCAAGUCGAACGAUGAAGCCCAGCUUGCUGGGUGGAUUAGUGGCGAACGGGUGAGUAACACGUGAGUAACCUGCCCUUGACUCUGGGAUAAGCCCGGGAAACUGGGUCUAAUACCGGAUAGGAGCGCCUGUCGCAUGACGGGUGUUGGAAAGAUUUUUCGGUCAUGGAUGGACUCGCGGCCUAUCAGCUUGUUGGUGAGGUAAUGGCUCACCAAGGCGACGACGGGUAGCCGGCCUGAGAGGGUGACCGGCCACACUGGGACUGAGACACGGCCCAGACUCCUACGGGAGGCAGCAGUGGGGAAUAUUGCACAAUGGGCGGAAGCCUGAUGCAGCGACGCCGCGUGAGGGAUGACGGGCCUUCGGGUUGUAAACCUUCUUUCAGUAAGGGAAAGA
rnacentral:rRNA from 1 species